rnacentral:rRNA from 1 species
UAAGGAAUAUUGGUCAAUGGACGCACGUCUGAACCAGCCAUGACGCGUGGAGGAUGAAGGUCCUCUGGAUUGUAAACUUCUUUUAUCUGGGACGAAACACUUCUUUUCUAAGAGGCCUGACGGUACCAGAUGAAUAAGCACCGGCUAACUCCGUGCCAGCAGCCGCGGUAAUACGGAGGGUGCAAGCGUUAUCCGGAUUCACUGGGUUUAAAGGGUGCGUAGGCGGGUCUUUAAGUCAGGGGUGAAAUCCUGGACCUCAACUCCAGAACUGCCUUUGAUACUGAGGAUCUUGAGUUCGGGAGAUGUGAGUGUAACUGCGAGUGUAGAGGUGAAAUUCGUAGAUAUUCGCAAGAACACCAGUGGCGAAGGCGGCUCACUGGCCCGUUACUGACGCUGAGGCACGAAAGCGUGGGGAGCAAACA